rnacentral:rRNA from 1 species
CCUACGGGUGGCAGCAGUGAGGAAUAUUGGUCAAUGGACGAGAGUCUGAACCAGCCAAGUAGCGUGAAGGAUGACUGCCCUAUGGGUUGUAAACUUCUUUUAUAAAGGAAUAAAACGAGGCACGUGUGCCUUUUUGCAUGUACUUUGUGAAAAAGGAUCGGCCAAAUCCGUGCCAGACGCCGCGGGUAUACGGAGGGUCCGAGCGUUAUCCGGAUUGUUUGGGUUUAAAGGGAGCGUAGAGGGGUUGUUAAGUCAGUUGUGAAAGUUUGCGGCUCAACCGUAAAAUUGCCAUUGAUACUGGCAGUCUUGAGUACAGUUGAGGUAGGCGGAAUUCGUGGUGUAGCGGUGAAAUGCUUAGAUAUCACGAAGAACCUCGAUUGCGAAGGCAGCUUACUAAACUGUGACUGACAUUGAUGCUCGAAAGUGUGGGUAUCAAACAGGAUUAGAUACCCUUGUAGUC